AAUGGGAUUAGCUAGUAGGCGGGGUUAUUGCCCACCUAGGCGACGAUCCCUAGCUGUCUGAGAGGAUGCCCAGCCACACUGGAACUGAGACACGGUCCAGACUCCUACGGGAGGCAGCAGUGGGGAAUAUUGCACAAUGGGCGCAAGCCUGAUGCAGCCAUGCCGCGUGUAUGAAGAAGGUCUUCGGAUUGUAAAGCACUUUAAGUUGGGAGGAAGGGCUGUUUCCUAAUACGAAGCAGUUUUGACGUUACCGACAGAAUAAGCACCGGCUAACUCUGUGCCAGCAGCCGCGGUAAUACAGAGGGUGCAAGCGUUAAUCGGAAUUACUGGGCGUAAAGCGCACGCAGGCGGUCUGUCAAGUCGGAUGUGAAAUCCCCGGGCUCAACCUGGGAACUGCAUUCGAAACUGGCAGGCUUGAGUCUCGUAGAGGGGGGUAGAAUUCCAGGUGUAGCGGUGAAAUGCGUAGAGAUCUGGAGGAAUACCGGUGGCGAAGGCGGCCCCCUGGACAAAGACUGACGCUCAGGUGCGAAAGCGUGGGGAGCAAACAGGAUUAGAUACCCUGGUAGUCCACGCCGUAAACGAUGUCGACUUGGAGGUUGUUCCCUUGAGGAGUGGCUUCCGGAGCUAACGCGUUAAGUCGACCGCCUGGGGAGACGCCGCAG
rnacentral:rRNA from 1 species